AAUUGCCUACGGGGGGCAGCAGUGAGGAAUAUUGGUCAAUGGGAGAGAUCCUGAACCAGCCAAGCCGCGUGAGGGAAGACGGCCCUAUGGGUUGUAAACCUCUUUUGUCGGAGAACAAAACCCGGGACGAGUCCCGGACUGCGUGUAUCCGACGAAAAAGCAUCGGCUAACUCCGUGCCAGCAGCCGCGGUAAUACGGAGGAUGCGAGCGUUAUCCGGAUUUAUUGGGUUUAAAGGGUUCGU
rnacentral:rRNA from 1 species